CCUACGGGAGGCAGCAGUGGGGAAUAUUGCACAAUGGGGGAAACCCUGAUGCAGCGACGCCGCGUGAGUGAAGAAGUAAUUCGUUAUGUAAAGCUCUAUCAGCAGGGAAGAAAAUGACGGUACCUGAGUAAGAAGCCCCGGCUAACUACGUGCCAGCAGCCGCGGUAAUACGUAGGGGGCAAGCGUUAUCCGGAUUUACUGGGGUUAAAGGGGGGGUAGCCGGCGGUGCAAGUCUGGAGUGAAAGGCGGGGGCUCAACCCCCGGACUGCUCUGGAAACUGUACGGCUGGAGUGCAGGAGAGGUAAGUGGAAUUCCUGGUGUAGCGGUGAAAUGCGUAGAUAUUAGGCGGAACACCAGUGGCGAAGGCAGCUUACUGGACUGUAACUGACGUUGAGGCUCGAAAGCGUGGGGAGCAAACAGGAUUAGAUACCCCUGUAGUC
rnacentral:rRNA from 1 species